rnacentral:rRNA from 1 species
UACGUAGGGUGCGAGCGUUGUCCGGAAUUAUUGGGCGUAAAGAGCUCGUAGGCGGUGUGUCACGUCGGCCGUGAAAACCUGGGGCUUAACUCUGGGCGUGCGGUCGAUACGGGCAUCACUAGAGUUCGGCAGGGGAGACUGGAAUUCCCGGUGUAGAGGUGAAAUUCGUAGAUAUCGGGAGGAACACCGGUGGCGAAGGCGGCCUGCUGGGCUAUGGCUGACACUGAGGCGCGGACAGCGUGGGGAGCAAACAGG